ACUCCUACGGGAGGCAGCAGUGGGGAAUCUUAGACAAUGGGGCAACCCUGAUCUAGCCAUGCCGCGUGAGUGAUGAAGGCCUUAGGGUUGUAAAGCUCUUUCAGCUGGGAAGAUAAUGACGGUACCAGCAGAAGAAGCCCCGGCUAACUCCGUGCCAGCAGCCGCGGUAAUACGGAGGGGCUAGCGUUGUUCGGAAUUACUGGGCGUAAAGCGCACGUAGGCGGACCAGAAAGUUGGGGGUGAAAUCCCGGGGCUCAACCCCGGAACUGCCUUCAAAACUAUUGGUCUGGAGUUCGAGAGAGGUGAGUGGAAUACCGAGUGUAGAGGUGAAAUUCGUAGAUAUUCGGUGGAACACCAGUGGCGAAGGCGGCUCACUGGCUCGAUACUGACGCUGAGGUGCGAAAGCGUGGGAGCAAACAGGAUUAGAUACCCUGGUAGGAUACCG
rnacentral:rRNA from 1 species